AGUGAACGCUGGCGGUAGGCCUAACACAUGCAAGUCGAACGGCAGCACAGUAAGAGCUUGCUCUUACGGGUGGCGAGUGGCGGACGGGUGAGGAAUACAUCGGAAUCUACUUUUUCGUGGGGGAUAACGUAGGGAAACUUACGCUAAUACCGCAUACGACCUACGGGUGAAAGCAGGGGAUCUUCGGACCUUGCGCGAUUGAAUGAGCCGAUGUCGGAUUAGCUAGUUGGCGGGGUAAAGGCCCACCAAGGCGACGAUCCGUAGCUGGUCUGAGAGGAUGAUCAGCCACACUGGAAGUGAGACACGGUCCAGACUCCUACGGGAGGCAGCAGUGGGGAAUAUUGGACAAUGGGCGCGAGCCUGAUCCAGCCAUACCGAGUGUGUGAAGAAGGCGUUCGGGUUGUAAAGCCCUUUUGUUGGGAAAGAAAAGCAGCAGGUUAAUACCCCGCUGUUCUGACGGUAACCAAAGAAUAAGCACCGGCUAACUUCGUG
rnacentral:rRNA from 1 species